AACUGUUUUGUUACCACAGACGUGAAUAUGUUCCGCGAUUCAUCCGAUGGCAUUUGUUAUUUAUGAUAUAUCUUUUUUUCCUUUAUUUAACUAUGCAAGUUAGUAAAGAACAAAUUCAUAUUUACAAUAACGGCCUACCAAAAGGCCCCCUACGGGGACAGGGGGCAAACUACCUGCCCUUCAGGACACCUACACCACCCCAUGUCACAGGAAGGCCAUAAAGAUCAUCAAGGACAACAACCACCCGAGCCACUGCCUGUUCACCCCGCUAUCACCCAGAAGGCGAGAACAACACAGAGAAGUAGACAGAGGACAAAUAAUGUCUGGACAAGGGAGAGGAGUAGUUGGACCAGGGAGGGGAGUAGCCGGACCAGGCAGAGGAGUAGCUGGACCAGGCAGAGGAGUAGCUGGACCAGACAGAGGAGUAGCUGGACCAGGCAGAGGAGUAGCUGGACCAGGCAGAGGAGUAGCUGGACCAGGCAGAUGAGUAGUUGGACCAGGCAGAGGAGGCAGAGGACUAGUUGGACCAGGCAGAGGAUUAGCUGGACCGAGCAGAGGAGUAGUUGGACUCACGCACGCAUGCACGCACGCACUCACACAUGCAUGCACUCACACUCACACACACACACACACACACACACACACACACACUAGAGGAUGUCGAUACAAAGCCUUCUACAGUAAAAGGUGGUGAUGUCUCUUCCAUUUCAGUGCCACUUCUUUCCUAGAACCUCUCUGGUUCGUCACAGUCACAUGGAAAUAAUACCUGCCCCUUUGCUUUGGGAUCAUUACUGCUCUAUUUUCAUAAUUGACUGUAGCUGGACCAGGCAGAGGAGUAGUUGGACCAGGCAGAGGAGGCAUAGGAGUAGUUGGACCAGGCAGAGGAUUAGCUGGACCGGGCAGAGGAGUAGUUGGACCAGGCAGAGGAGUAGUUGUACCAGGCAGAGGAGUAGUUGGACCAGGUAGAGGAGUAGUUGGACCAGGCAGAGGAGUAGUUGGACCAGGGAGAGGAGUAGUUGGACCAGGGAGAGGAGUAGCUGAACCAGGCAGAGCAGUAGUUGGACCAGGACAAACAGUCCAGCCUAAUACCAUGGUCUAUCACUGAAAGAGGCUGGUGAAACAGUCCAGCCUAAUACCAUGGUCUAUCACUGAGAGAGGCUGCUGAAACAGUCCAGCCUAAUACCAUGGUCUAUCACUGAGAGAGGCUGGUGAAACAGUCCUGCCUAAUACCAUGGUCUAUCACCGAGAGAGGCUGGUGAAACAGUCCAGCCUAAUACCAUGGUCUAUCACUGAGAGAGGCUGGUGAAACAGUCCAGCCUAAUACCAUGGUCUAUCACUGAGAGAGGCUGGUGAAACAGUCCAGCCUAGUACCAUGGUCUAUCACUGAGAGAGGCUGGUGAAACAGUCCUGCCUAAUACCAUGGUCUAUCACUGAGAGAGGCUGGUGAAACAGUCCUGCCUAGUACCAUGGUCUAUCACUGAGAGAGGCUGGUGAAACAGUCCUGCCUAAUACCAUGGUCUAUCACUGAGAGAGGCUGGUGAAACAGUCCUGCCUAAUACCAUGGUCUAUCACUGAGAGAGGCUGGUAAAACAGUCCUGCCUAAUACCAUGGUCUAUCACUGAGAGAGGCUGGUGAAACAGUCCUGCCUAAUACCAUGGUCUAUCACUGAGAGAGGCUGGUGAAACAGUCCUGCCUAAUACCAUGGUCUAUCACUGAGAGAGGCUGGUGAAACAGUCCUGCCUAAUCUCAGACGGUCAACCGUGGCUUCCAUUAUCCAGAGUUUUCAACGAACCAACAGGUACGUAAUGCAUUUCACAAGAGCUUCUUCUAUCAUUACUGUUGCUAUGUCCCACAGGAACUGUAGGGCACCAGCCCCAAUGCAAAUAUAUUUGUUGUAUUUUUGUUCCUCUAAAGAACGCUAAUGUCUUCCUCCUUCUGGGGGAAGAGGAAAGCUCCCCAGUGAAAACCAAGACCAUUGUAGGAUUGGUCAUUGCUGACAACGCAAUUAAACUGAGAGAUAUUCAGAGCAGAAAUGUAGAGGACAACCUGGUGUUACACAGUGUGGAGAAGCAUCAGUCUGACCACCAUUGGCUCGGACUCUGACCAAACACAGAGUUCGAAUGAAAGUUUUACACGGUUCCUUUUGAAAGGAACAGUGAGUGGGUCAAAGAACUCCGGCACCAAUACGUCCAGGAUUGGUGUCUAUCCAUUAUGUCUUGUUCUAUAGUGAGUUUUACACUAUGCUACUCUACAUGUAAACAUGAGUUACAGUACAUACAGUAGGACAUACUGAAAAGCAUUUACACAUACUGUGUUUUCAUUUCUUUCAGAGAGUCACGGAGUUGGAGACUAAUCAGACCCCACUUGAAAUCAUUGAUGGAGACGAGGCAGGGUUUGAACCUGGGAUGGGCUGCACGUCGUCAGGGAAGAAACAUCAUCGGGGAAAAGGGCCACCGUUGAUGUGCCGGGUCAGAAAGGAGCAAAUAUCACAAUGUGUGCUGCAUUCUGGAGUGCUGGUUUGGUCCUGCAGAAAUGCCAGAUUGGUUCCGACAACACUGAGCGCCUUCUUUUGUUUUGAGAUGACCUCCACCAACAACUGGUGCCAGAAGCAGAAAGGGAACAGCUCGGCAGGAAACAUGAGGACAUGUGUGAUUGCAUGGGACAAUGUAGCAUUCCACCAUUCACAUGCAAUCACAAACUGGUUUGCAGCCCAUCCCAUUUUUAGCAUUUUGAAAUGUAGAGUUGGUAUUUAAUGAAAAAAAUGUGGUUUUGAGCAGAAAAUUAACUAUUUGUCUAAUUGUGUGAUGUAGGUGUGUUGCUGUGUUAAGAGUUUAGAAAAGUAUCUUGAAGUAUAGGUAAAUACUUGUUAGCAAUUGUAAAAUAAACUGCAAUAACUCCAAAUUAAGCAUAUAGGAAUACCUAUUUAUUUAGUUAAUAACCGCUCAACACAGAAUAGCCGCACGUGCACACUCCCUCAAACCGUUUGGAGAAAAUAUGAUUUAUAUUUUAUUCAGCUUUGUUCGGAUGUAUUUUUCAUCCUAUAAAAUAAUCGAAGCAAAUCUUGUCUGCUAAAUUAACAAGCGCAGCCCACAGCCAUAUGCCAUAGCUAGAUCAGGGCCUAACAUAAGGACAACUCUGAGUAUGCUAUUAAGUACUUCAGAAAUAGUCUACAUUUUCACAUCAUGCUUCUUUAGACCUGUCUAAAAUAAAUAAUGGAUUUAUUGUGA